rnacentral:lncRNA from 1 species
GGGCCCAUUUCCCCGGAGUUGAGACGAGGACGAGGGCUGCUUGCGAGGCCGCGUCGCCCGGGGCCUGCGGCUCAGACUCCUCGGGGCGCCGCGCUGCCGGCAGUCGUCACCCGGGCAGCUGCGGCGGGCCGCCCCGAUAUCGGGCCCCUCCUCCGCGCGCCCGCCGGCCUCGGCCGCCGCCUCCGCAGCGCCACCGCCCGCUCGGCCGCUCUGCGCGCCGAGCCCGGGCGGCCCCGCUCGGGUAGGGCCGCGGCGCCUCCGCGAAGCCCCUCCCCAGGGUCCGCCUGCAGCCGCGCCCUUGACGCUCGCAGCCCGCCAGGCGGCCCGCGCGGAUCCAACCCUGAGCUCUCACGCCAUCCCCUCCAAGAGGAACGGCUUCCGUCAGCCCUCCUCUGCAGUUCUGAACCUGACUCCGGGCCCAAAAAUACACAUUUAAGGGACAAUCCUAAUACCCAAAGGGGUUCAGAUGCGGAAGCAGGAUUCCACAGGCCUUUCCAGGAGACUUGUCACACCACGUCAAAGAAUGAGGGACGGACUCUCUUGGAAGUUUUCCAAGUGCACCACCACAGUGGUUGAGAAGCUGCCCACCUCUACGUUGAUAAUUCUCCAUCGAGUUAGUUCCACACCCAAGCUAGUUUCUUCGCUCCUGGAAACUAGGAAAUCGACAGAAUGGUCCAUUUCCACCCACGUAACCAUAGAACCAUGGAAUUUGAGAUGAAAGAAUCUUACUGAUGCAUAGUCCAAACUCUUAUGCUAAGACAAGGGUUUAGACAAGUUUCGAUGACGUGAGCAAGGUUAAAGAGCAAAGCUUUAGUCUCCACCCCUCUCCCCUCCAUCUAUCUCUCCAGAAAGCAUCUAUCUUCGAAGCAACCCAUCAUUCAGUAAAACUAUUUUGCCACCUGUUUCGUCUGGGUUCUAAACUAAUGUUUAACGUUUCCGCAACGCAAGCACCUCUGUCUCUAUAAUGGAGAUGUCCUUUGCUUUCUUCCUUUACUAGAAGGACUGAACUUGCCGGUGUUAUUUCUCCACACAUAUUUUCCAUUGCAG